rnacentral:lncRNA from 1 species
CCAGGCGACACCAGGCUCCGCAUAACCCGGGAGUGGCUCAGGCCAGGUCCAUGUUAACGCGUCCUAUGGGUCCCCUCCUCCUCCUAUCCGGGAUCCCACGGCCGGGUUCAGCUGGCCUCCGGCUCCGCUGCGAACACGGGAAACCUGCGGAACUCCCGCGGCGCCGCUCAACAGCCACUCGCCCGGCGCCGUCGAACUUCCGCCGCCCAGUCCGCCGCAGCGGGCCUGCGGCCCGGACCCGGGAACAAAGGGGGCCGGGCAGCCAAUGGCAGCCGGGCAGCUCCGGGCCGCCGCCAAUCACCGAGCGCCGCACGCACCUUCGCGGCCCGAGCGCGGCGCUGGCAAAUCUGUGAUCAACUGAGUUUUCUCUUCUCAUUAAACUAAAGAGUCAUGAGGUAUCAUUAUCCGCUGCUGCCCUUUAUAAUCUUAAGGCAAAUACUGGUACAAAAUACUCAUUUUCUACUCUAGAAACUCCAUACUAUUCCACCAAAUUACAGUAAGAUUUAUUUUAAGCAGAAAUCCAAAGCGG